GUUUUCACCUCACUUUAUUUUUUAAGAGAGUCUUACCCUGUCGCCCAGGCUGUAGUGCAAUAGCACAAUCUCAGUUCACUGCAACCUCUACCUCCCAGGUUCAAGCAAUUCUCCUGCCUCAGCCUCCAGAGUAGUUUGGAUUUCAGGAGCCCGCCACCACACCCACCUAAUUUUUUGUAUUUUUAGUAGAGACAGAGUUUCACAAUGUUGGCCAGGCUGGUCUCAAACUCCUGACCUCAGCUGAUCCGCCCGCCUCGGCCUCCCAAAGUGCUGGGAAUACAGGCGUGAGCCACCGCUAGCCCCCUGUAUUUUAAGAUGUCUUAUUCCUCAAGCCAGAGCCAAUACAAGGAUAAGAACUGCAAAUACUUGAAACAAGAAAGGACAAGUAUGAGGACAACGCUUAAGAGAACAGAAGGUCUUUGAUAAACCUCUGCCUCCUGUAUGGCAAUGUUAACAAAUGGAAAGAUACAAUUUUGAGGGUGGUAGGACUAAGAAGUCCAAGAAUCUAAACACGGUAUCCAUGGGAGAAAAAUAAGAAAGUUAGACAUGAUUUUCUUCUGUAGAAGGCCAUAUAAAGCACAAAAUUUUUUUAAAAAGAAAAACUCAAAUUUCUUUUUAACAGUGGAUAAUUUUAAUCCUUCCCUCCAUUACUUGAGGUUGUGCUGCCAGAUUUUUUCCGGUCUAAGCCCAUCCUCCAAACUCUACAGUGUUCCUACUGCUACAAACCAAAAUUCAAACUCUUGAACAUGGCAGUCAAUACUUUCCAAGAUGUGGCCUCAAUUUAUUUUCCUGGUUCCAUCUGGAUUCCACUAUAAUUUAGUUACAUUACAUUAUUCUCUCCUUAAAUUGUGGGUUUUUUGGACUUUGCUCUCAUGGUUUCCCUGUGCUCGAAAUGGGACUAUUGCUCAAACUUGAUCAAGACUCAGCUAGCCAGGCGCAGUGGCUCAUGCAAUCCCAGCACUUUGGGAGGCCGAGGCGGGCAGAUCACCUGAGGUCAGGAGUUUGAGACCAGCUUGGCCAAUACAGUGAAACCCUGUCUUGACAAAAAAAAUACAAAAAUUAGUAGGCCGGGUGUGGUGGCUCAUGCCUGUAAUCCCAGCACUUUGGGAGUCUGAGGCAGGCGGAUCACCUGAGGUCAGGUGUUUGAGACCAGCCUGACCAGUAUGAUGAAACCCUAUCUCCACUAAAAAUACAAAAAUUAGCUGAGAAUGGUGGCAUGCGCCUGUAAUCCCAGCGUUCUGGGAGGCUAAGGCAGGAGAAUCGCUUGAGUCUGGGAGGUGGAAGUUGCAGUGAGCCGAGAUCAUGCUACUGCACUCCAGCCUGGGCAACAAGAGCGAAACGUCAUCUCAAAAAAAAAAAAAAAAAAAAAAAAAAAAAAAAAAUUAGCCGAGCGUAGUGACACAUGCCUGUAAUCCCAGCCACUGGGGAGGCUGAGGCAGGAGAAUCGCUUGAACAUGGGAGACGGCGGUUGCAGUGAGCCAAGAUCGUGCCACUACACUCCAGCCUGGGCAACAGAGUGACUCUGUCUCAAAAAACAACAAAAAAAGACUCAGCUAAAAUGCUACCUUAAUUCAGAAGUUAUUCUCAGACUCUCAAGUCAUAAUCAGUUAAUUGCUUUGCACAUUACGUUUACAAAUAUUUCCUGCGGUCAGCAACCCCCUUCUUCCAUGUCUGGAAUUCACCUAGCACUCAAUAAAGAUUUAAGCAAUAAAAGGCUUAGUUUUACAGGACCUUUCCACAAAAAGUACCAUACAGAUUGAGCAUCCCUCAUCCAAAAUGCUUGAGACAGAAGUUUUGGAUUGUGGAAUAGUUGCAUUAUACUUACCAAUUGAACAUCCCUUACCCCAAAUGAGAAAAACUCCAGUGAAUAAGUAUUUCCUUUGAGUGUCAUAUUGACACUCAAUUUUUGGAUCAGUUCAGACUUUGCAGCAUUUCGGAUUUCAGAAAAAUUGCCCAGCUAAUUUUUUAGCUUUUUUUUUUUUUUGAGAUGGAGUUUCACUCUUGUCACCCAGGAUGGAGUGCAAUGGCCGGAUCUCGGCUUACCGCAAUCUCCGCCUCCCAGGUUCAAGCGAUUCUCCUGCCUCAACCUCCCGAGUAGCUGGGAUUACAGGCAUGCACCACCAUGCCCCACUAAUUUUGUAUUUUUAGUAGAGACAGGAUUUCUCCAUGUGUGUCAGGGUGGUCUUGAACUCCCGACCUCAGGUGAUCCGCCCGCCUCCGCCUCCCAAAGUGCUGGGAUUAUAGGAGUGAGCCACUGCGCCCGGCCUUAGAAUUCUUUUGUGGAAACAAGGUCUCAUUAUGUUGCACAGACUUGUCUCGAAUUCCUGGGCUCAAGCAAUCCUCCUGCCUCAGCCUCCCAAAGUGCUGGGAUUGCAGGUGUGAGCCACCACGCCUUGCCCACAUUCUCUUUUUUUUUUUUUUUUGAGAUGGAGUUUCGCUCUUGUGGCCCAGGCUGGAGCGCAAUGGUGUGAUCUCCGCUCACUGCAACCUCUGCCUCCCGGCUUCAAACGAUUCUCCUGCCUCAGCUUCCCUAGUAGCUGGGAUUACAAGUGCAUGCCACCACUGCCCCCAAAACAAAAAUAACUUUUUUUUUUUUUAAGAUGGAGUCUCGCUCUGUCGCCAGGCUGGAGUGCAGUGGCGCGAUCUUGGCUCAACGCAACCUCGCCCGGCUAUUUUUAGUAGAAACAGGGUUUUCACCAUGUUGGCCAGGAUGGUCUCGGUCUCUUGAUCCACCCACCAUGGCCUCCCGAAGUGCUGGGAUUACAGGCAUAAGCCACCUCGCCCAGCCCAAAAAUCACUUACGAAGCAGCUACUGUAAUGUGAACUACAACCAAAUUAGUCUAGAGGAUAGUAGUAUUGAAUAAAACAUUUACAUUAAACCCAUCACUUUAUACUUUUCAAAAUACUUUUUGCAACUAUCUUGAGGGUUCUUCAACAAAAGAUAGCGCAAGUAUGAACUCCAAUUUGCAGAAGUGAGACCCAAAAAGAUUAUGGACUAUCUUUAGGUAUCUGCAGGAGCUAGGGAAGAACUAAACAUCACUGCAAGUGGCCAUCUAUGGCGCCUGUCUUUGAGGGUUCUUUAAAAUGGACUUUUGCAAACAUUAUCUCAUCCUGUACAUAAGGUUAUACAACAUUGAAUGGCCGGGGAAUUUAAGUAGAACAGCGUUUUUUAUGGGCAGGUUAGUCAGCUAAUGGAUAAGAGACUUGAAAUUACUCUUUUGGGAUUAGCAAAUAGAAGGGAAAAACAUGAUAAGGGCACAGAGCGGUGGGUCUGGGGGAAAAAGCAGAGGCACAGUUUGAAAAAAAUGUGUAAGAGACUGACUAGGUAAGAUAUGGUCACAGUUCAUAAGUCCUUUGAAUUCUAGGAUUAAAAAGGUGAACUCGAGUUAAGGAUAUGAAGUCUGGGACAGCUUUAGCUGGGUGUAGGAAUCUUGGUGUGAGGAUGAGGGCCUGCAAUUUGCAUUGUGGAUCGAUAUGCAGAGGAAGGAGGAAAUGAAACCUGAAGGCACUGCUACUGAAAAGGGGUGGAAAGGAUGAUUUUACGGUGAGCCUAAGGUUUUGCUUAAGCUUGAGGAAUAGAAAAACACACAAAGAAACGACUUGCCCAAAUCCAUUAUUGAGACGCCCCCCUCAUUUCCGGAAGUCCUUUAAAAUCGCAGAAUAUUAAUGCUGAAGCACCCUCCCCUCUACUCCUGCGCUAUGAGGUGUCUACUGUAACGCCAGUCCUUUUCCUUGGACAAAGUGGAACGCCUUACUGAAGGAGAGUCCCUGUUAAGGACAGUUACAUUCUUAGUUCUGUAGAACCUCCGUAUGUCGUAGGAUUCUCAAAUUCUAGCUAAUGAUCUACCGAUUUCAAGCCAUAUAUGGUACGAGGCAAUAGCCAUAUAAUAAAAGAACGUGGCCAGUCCCUUAGAAAUUAUCAGGUUGAAAUCGGAUUCCGUGACUCUUGCGGCGGCCUCUGGGUUCCUAAAGACUUCUGGAAAUCAUGUCUCCCUACAGGGCUAAACAGCACGCACUCGCG
rnacentral:lncRNA from 1 species